rnacentral:rRNA from 1 species
GUACAACUCGAAGUGGUGGAUCACUCGGCUCGCGCGUCGAUGAAGAACGCAGCCAGCUGCGAGACUUGGUGUGAAUUGCAGGACACAUUGAGCACUGAUUCUUCGAACGCACAUUGCGGCCUCGGGUCCUUCCCGUGGCCUCGCCUGUCUGAGGGUCGGAAA